UCGCCGCUCAGCCAGGCUCCCGCGAUACGAAGAAGUUCGACGUUUUCCCGGAGCCAGGCUCAAGCGGUGCAGCCUGCGCAUGUGAGGUGAGCCGAAAGAGGUUGGCGCGUGUACGAGCAGAACAGGCGGAAGAAUUAACGUUACCGCCUCCUUUCCCGCCAUCCACCCUCUCUCUGCUUCACCGCCACCCGCCAUUCUCGUUCGCUCGCCAUUCUCUACUCUCUCGCUCAGUGGUGAUUCCUCCGUUCUACCCUGCGCACAAGCAAGUGGAUUCUCCUUAACUUUGAUGUUCCUCAUCCGAUUUAGCAUUCACGCCCUUUCCCUUCCGUUAGACGCAAAUCCCUUGCUUUUCUUUUUCAACCGUGCAAGGACACAACUGGAUCUGAGGUCUUUGUUUGCUCAGAGAUAACCCGCUAGCUGACGGUUUGUAUGAAUUGAUCGUCGCGUCUGAGAGUGAACAGCUCAAAGCCUCUCAAGUUGAAACGCCACAAGAUCUGAACCAAAGUUCAGAAUCCCAAGGACAGUUUGGAAGGCAAGCACCGGAGCAUGAUCACUAAUUCCAAAACUAUACAAUGUUAUUACUUAUGUAUUUUACUUUUAUGUAUUAAGUUCCUAGGAGUUGAAUGAAACCUUAGUUGCAUGAUCCCUAGGACUCCCAAGUUCAAAUAAUAGUAUGUGUAGGUCGAUAGAAAUGCCAUGCUUAAUUAGGAACGGUAGAAGUCGAGUGAUUGUCUAUCAUUCGCGAGAUAUAGGCUCCUACUUGUUAUGGAUAAAUCCUGAAAUGAACGGUUCGAAAGAGAAAAGUUGGAGACCGGGCGGAGAUAGAAAUGGUGAUAUUAUUGUUAUUGGUUGUGGUCCACCUGUGUCGAUUAAUGCCCGUCCGUUGUUGGCUCUAUUGAUCGAGUUUGAAUUGUACUAUCUACUUGCCGGAAGUAAGAAAUAGUUGAAACUAGUAAAACCUAGUAUCAUACUGCGCGAUUGUAGAUUGAGUUGGUCUUGUUUCCUAUUCAUGUGCUAGUCAGUAACUCAUGUCUGGCUCGGGAAGGUACUGGUGGUGAUUAGUACUUGAGGGUUGUAGGAGUUCUCAAAUGCUAUCGCUCUCAAAGGGAACCGUUUGCCAUAUGCAGCUCGAUGGGGCAUGCAUAUGUCGCGUGUAUAGGUUCACCUUGCAAGGUUAUUAAAUCGAAUCGAUUCACUGCCGCUCUCGGUUAAGAGAACCUUGAUCACUGCAUCACAUCGUAGUAAGAAGUGGAAUGGAAGAAAAUGUGAAUGUUAAUGAUGUUGUUGUCUAAUCAAUUAUUUUAUUCAACGCUGAAAAGUUUUGAAUAUCUUGCUCACUUAGAAUGGUUAGUUCAAUUUUAAUUAGAAUGCUAAAACUUGAAAGUAAUGAUCCACUUUUAGUUGCUUUUGGAAAAACAAACCCCUCAGCCAAAAGCCUUGCAUACUAGGAGUCGGCUAAGUAUAUACCAUAGUCGGGUAAGACUUGCGAAGUAUUAGUAUAUUCAGCUUUGCUUGUUGAUUAC